AGCCGCUGAUGACUUCAGUUUACUUUUUCUGACACCUCGUAUGAACGCUGUAAUUCAGCAGCUGAUUAUUAAGUUUAGUCUGAGGCUC
ensembl:snoRNA